rnacentral:rRNA from 1 species
UACGUAGGGUGCGAGCGUUGUCCGGAAUUAUUGGGCGUAAAGAGCUUGUAGGCGGUUUGUCGCGUCUGCCGUGAAAAAUUCGAGGCUCAACCUCGAACUUGCGGUGGGUACGGGCAGACUAGAGUGUGGUAGGGGAGACUGGAAUUCCUGGUGUAGCGGUGAAAUGCGCAGAUAUCAGGAGGAACACCGAUGGCGAAGGCAGGUCUCUGGGCCGAUACUGACGCUGAGGAGCGAAAGCGUGGGGAGCGAACAGG